UAUGCCUUAGUAUAUUUUGUACAUAAGUUUUUGAUACUUAUAGAAGUAGAUAAUUUCUAUUAGGUGUAA
rnacentral:tRNA from 1 species